rnacentral:rRNA from 1 species
UGAAUACGAGACGCUAAGGCGUCGAAGUAGUGUAUGUCAUACUUCCAAGAAAAGCUUGCACUGUCAUAAGUAAAAAAUGCCUGUACCAUAACCGACACAGGUGGGUAGGUAGAGUAUACUAAGGGGCGCGAGAUAACUCUCUCUAAGGAACUCGGCAAAAUAACUCCGUAACUUCGGGAGAAGGAGUACCUUAUUCUAUAAGGUUGCAAUAACAAGAUCCAAGCAACUGUUUAUCAAAAACACAGGUCUCCGCUAAGUCGUAAGACGAUGUAUGGGGGCUGACGCCUGCCCAGUGCCAGAAGGUUAAAGAAGUCGGUUAGCAUUAGCGAAGCUGGUAACUGAAGCCCUGGUGAACGGCGGCCGUAACUAUAACGGUCCUAAGGUAGCGAAAUUCCUUGUCGGGUAAGUUCCGACCCGCACGAAAGGCGUAAUGAUUUGGAUACUGUCUCGGAGAGGGGCUCGGUGAAAUAGACUUGUCUGUGAAGAUGCGGACUACCUGCACCAGGACAGAAAGACCCUAUGAAGCUUUACUGUAACUUGAAAUUGAAAUUGGACUUUAUUCGCGCAGUAUAGGUGGGAGGUGUUGAUUAUAAUCUUGCGGGAUUAUUGGAGCCAUCAGUGAGAUACCACUCUUGUAAUGUUAGAUUUCUAACUUUGAAUCAUUAUCUGGUCAAAGGACAGUUUCAGGCGGGCAGUUUGACUGGGGCGGUCGCCUCCCAAACGGUAACGGAGGCGUACAAAGGUUUCCUCUGAACGGGUAGAAAUCGUAUCUAGAGUGUAAAGGCAUAAGGAAGCUUGACUGUGAGACCUACAAGUCGAACAGGGACGAAAGUCGGUCUUAGUGAUCUGACGGUACUGAGUGGAAAGGCCGUCACUCAACGGAUAAAAGUUACUCUAAGGAUAACAGGCUGAUCUCCCCCAAGAGUUCACAUCGACGGGGAGGUUUGGCACCUCGAUGUCGGCUCAUCGCAUCCUGGGGCGGUAGUACGUCCCAAGGGUUGGGCUGUUCGCCCAUGAAAGCGGUACGCGAGCUGGGUUCAGAACGUCGUGAGACAGUUCGGUCCAUAUCCGGUGUAGGCGUUAGAAUAUUGAGAGGAGCCUUCUUUAGUACGAGAGGACCGAGAAGGACAUACCUCUGGUGUACCAGUUAUCGUGCCAACGGUAAACGCUGGGUAGCUAUGUAUGGAGUGGAUAACCGCUGAAAGCAUCUAAGUGGGAAGCCCACCUCAAGAUAAG